CAGAAUAUCUUCUGGAGUAUGUAUGGGUUUCUUCUCAUAUCAACUGGCUGGCCGUUCUGAGAUUAUACUGUCAAAACUUGAUCUAGACAAUACUAGCGAAAGGACAUGCGUGACUUUUGAUU
rnacentral:ncRNA from 11 species